rnacentral:rRNA from 1 species
GCCAGCAGCCGCGGGAACACCGGCAGCUCUAGUGGUAACAAUUUUAUGGGCCUAAAGCGUCCGUAGCCGGUUUAAUAAGUCUCUGGUGAAAUCCUGUAGCUUAACUGUGGGAAUUGCUGGAGAUACUAUUAGACUUGAGACCGGGAGAGGUUAGAGGUACUCCCAGGGUAGAGGUGAAAUUCUGUAAUCCUGGGAGGACCGCCUGUUGCGAAGGCGUCUAACUGGAACGGUUCUGACGGUGAGGGACGAAAGUUAGGGGCGCGAACCGGAUUAGAUACCCGGGUAGUCCUAACUGUAAACGAUGCGGACUUGGUGUUGGGGUGGCUUUGAGCUGCUCCAGUGCCGAAGGGAAGCUGUUAAGUCCGCCGCCUGGGAAGUACGGUCGCAAGACUGAAACUUAAGGAAUUGGCGGGGGAGCACCACAACGCGUGGAGCCUGCCGGUUUAAUUGGAUUCAACGCCGGACAUCUCACCAGAGGCGACAGCUGUAUGAUAGCCAGGUUGAUGACUUUGCUUGACUAGCUGAGGAGUGGUGCAUGG